rnacentral:SRP_RNA from 2 species
GCUGGGCAUGGUGGCGCAUGCCUGUAGUCCCAGGUACUUGGGAAGCUGAGGCAGGAGAAUUGCUUGAACCCAGGAGGUGGAGGUUGCAGUGAGACGAGAUUGUGCCACUGCACUCCAGCCUGGUGACAGAGUGAGACCCUGUCUCAA